GAGUUUGAUCGUGGCUCAGGAUGAACGCUGGCGGCGUGCUUAACACAUGCAAGUCGAACGAAGCGCCUUAUUUGAUUUUCUUCGGAACUGAAGAUUUGGUGACUGAGUGGCGGACGGGUGAGUAACGCGUGGGUAACCUGCCCUGUACAGGGGGAUAACAAUCAGAAAUGACUGCUAAUACCGCAUAAGACCACAGCACCGCAUGGUGCAGGGGUAAAAACUCCGGUGGUACAGGGUGGACCCGCGUCUGAUUAGCUGGUUGGUGAGGUAACGGCUCACCAAGGCGACGAUCAGUAGCCGGCUUGAGAGAGUGAACGGCCACAUUGGGACUGAGACACGGCCCAAACUCCUACGGGAGGCAGCAGUGGGGAAUAUUGCACAAUGGGGGAAACCCUGAUGCAGCAACGCCGCGUGAGUGAAGAAGUAUUUCGGUAUGUAAAGCUCUAUCAGCAGGGAAGAAAGUGACGGUGCCUGACUAAGAAGCCCCGGCUAACUACGUGCCAGCCGCCGCGGUAAG
rnacentral:rRNA from 1 species